AUAUUAAUGCAUAUACCUAUAUAAAACAAUAUUACCAGCCUAGAACUGAGAGCUUUAUAUUAGCACACCUACUGUGAGUGGCUAGUAAAACCCAUUCUGCAGCGCAAUUUCUCGAUGCCAUAAUUAAUUGAUUGCCGCCAGAUAGUUUCUCCGUCGAGUUUCCCGUUUCUCGGAAUGCAUUUGCAAGCCACCAGUUGACCCUGGGACCCAUCUGGUGAUGGUACUCACAACUUACAACUCACAGCUCGCAAACACACACCCAACCCCGCAAACAAAACAGUUGGCUAAUUAAACGAAAGCUUCCUCUGAUCAAACAUUGAUUGUGCAUUAAACUGCUGGCCAAACAAGCAAAUAUUCGGGCCCAAACAAAGCCUACUCGCCAACAAUUGUGGACAAAUUGUGGGUGAAUUAGCGUCUCGGCCGGGGCGCAAGUGUAAAUAUUUGUAUGGUCUCGAAAUGAGCUUGAAUCCCAAACUGAUUCAAAAAUGUAACAGAUUGCACUAGGCCACACCUACGAGCGAAAUAUAAAAUCAAGCCAAGGAGGCUGGCCCACCAAGUCAACCCUCGGGACAUAACUCGGAUAGCUCCGGUGGCAGGAAGCGACUAAUUUGAGCAACCCUUGUGGCCGGGCAAACACCUCAGCGCACCAGAUCGAACAAAGCCAAGGCCAAAACAGAAAUUGGAGUUGACAUGUGUAUCCUUUUCAUUAACUCGCGACGCCAGCGCCGACAGGCUGUGUGGUCCUGCGGCAUAUCCCGUCCAAAUGCUCUCCACAAAGGCAACUUUCAACAAGUCAGAGCGGGAUUUUGGUGGUAAAAACUUUUUAUUACCCUAUAUGUUUUGUAAAGAAUUUUAAGACUUAUAGUUUACCGAACAUUUAUCUUAAAAGAGUUGCCAAGUAUGUAUUACAUCUAAGUUUCGAUCACAAACCAUCUAGAGCAAGAUAUUUUGUUUACACCUAUAACUAUUUAAUAAACAAUAUUUUCAAAUU
ensembl:ncRNA lncRNA:CR45115 long non-coding RNA:CR45115